CGGGCUAUCAGCUUGUUGGUGGGGUAAUGGCUUACCAAUGCGAAGACGGCUAGGGGGCGUGAGAGCGCGAUCCCCCACAAUGGAACUGACACACGGUCCAUACUCCUACGGGAUGCAGCAGUGAGGAAUAUUGCGCGAUGGGGGCAAGCCUGAUGCAGCAACGCCGCGUGGACGAUGAAGGCCUUCGGGUUGUAAAGAUCCUUCUCUGAAGGAAGAUAGUGACUGUACUUCAGGAAUAAGUCCCGGCUAACUACGUGCCAGACAGCCGCGGUAAAACGUAUGGGGCGAGCGUGUUCCGGAUUUAGUGGGAGUCAAGCGCAUGUAGGCGGCAUCGUAAGUCGGACGUGAAAGCUCCCGGCUCAACUGAGAGAGGUCGUCCACAACUGUGGUGCUUGAGGUUGAUAGACGAGAGUGGGAUUCCCGGUGUCAUGGUGGAAUGCGUAGAUCUCGGGAGGAACAGCAGUGCCGAAGGCGGCUCUCUAGGUUCGACCUGACGCUGAGGGUGCGAAAGCGUGGGGAGCGAACGCGAUUAGAUACCCCGGUAGUCCUCGCUGUAAACGAUGGAUACUAGCUGUGGGAGGUUAUUUACCCCUUCUGUGCCGUAGCUCACGCGUUAUAGUAUCCCGCCUGGGGAGUACGCCCGCAAGGUUAUCACUCAAAAGGAAUUGACGGGGGCCCACACAACCAGCGGAGCGUGUGGUUUAAUUCGAUGAUACGCGAAGAACCUUACCUGGGAUUGACAUGUUGUUAGUAG
rnacentral:rRNA from 1 species